CUUAGUAACAUUUUUUUUCUAGUUUAGUUUAUUAUAAGAAUAUAGUAUAUAAUACAUACAUACAAAACAUAUGUUAUUCAACUGUUUAUGUUAUCAGUAAGGCUUCCAGUCAACAGUAGACUAUUAGCAGUUAAGUUUGGGGGGAUUUAAAAGUUAUAUCUGGAUUUUCAGCUGCAUGGAGUUGGGCAUCUCUAAUCCUAAUAUUGUUCAAGGGUCAACUGCAAUAUGACAUAAAUGAUACAUCUAAAAUUGGUAUCCAGGUCUUCUGACUUAUAUUUUUAUUGCUAAAGAGAUGAUGCCAACUUAGAAACACACACACACACACACACACACACACACACAAACACACAAAUGUUCCCUAUGAUUUAAACAUGAUUUUAAAGUUAGAAAUUAGCUUUUGAAAAAUCGAAAGUUAACAAUGAAAAGAACAAGGGUAUCAGUAAUAUUCUAAUAAGGACCAUGGUAAAGAAAAUAGCAAUGAUGGGAAUGUAGUAAAGGGCGUAAUAGGACAAGGUGGUAAGUUCGAAAUGAGAAGACUUCUGAUUAAACCUUGCCUCUACCUCAAACCAUGCCAUCUUACAACAUUCUCUUUACUGCUCGGAGCCUCAGGUUCCUCUUCUGUGACAUAAACUUGAUAAUACUUAGCUUUAUUUGGUGUCCUGAAGACAGCAUGUAAGUAGUGGAACAUGAUGUACACUUCAUAAAAGAUAAAUGCUCUAGCUCCAAGAAGAGUGUGGUAUAUAGUCAAGAAUCUUGGUGUUGAUGGAGUAACUACCAGUCUGUCUAUCUCUCUCUCUCUUUCUGUUCCCUCACCUAGUACGUAGCCCAUAUAUUUCUUCCAGUAUAAAACAGAAAUAAAGAAAACAGAAUACUUGUUAGAAGUAUUAUCCUAUAAUGAACUUUGAUCUGCAAGUCAGUUCUGAAGGACAGUAUUGAAAUAUUAGAGAAGACAAAGUACCUAGGGUUUGUUGCUGUUUGUUCAUUUUGUCAUGAAAUAAAAAACGGAGGCAAAAUUCAGAUUUCAAAAAAAGAAAGAAUAUCUAAGAACUGCCAAGUCAGACUGUCAACAACAAAUAUUCCUAAUGACUAUGUAUCGGCACAGAUAUUUAAAUGCUGGUUUGGAUUUGGCCACUAAAUACACAACUGUUUGCUUACUGAAAUAGUUAAAUGUUAAGUACGUAACAUGAUACUUCUCUUUCAUAAACGUUCAGUAAUCAAUAAUCAUCACUGUUAUUUAGAAAAACUUCAGGAACACAGCAAUUUAUAACUUGAGCUCCUGACAAAAGCCAAAUUCUGAUGGAAGGAUCCUGAAACUAGGAUCUCAGAGUCUUGGCUCCCUCACCAGCUUGCCUAUGUAGCAACAGUAGUGCCACUUCACUUCUAAUAACACUUCAGCAUCUCUCAAGCAGGAAAGAUCAGUUUUUGCUUUGCCUAUCUCACUGUGCAACAGAGUGACAGUUAUAAAGUACAACUCAAAUACAAAAUAGAAUAAAAAAAUAAAACAUACUAGUAUUAAAUGAUUUAAAGCUACAGGGUUAAAAAGAAUAUUUCAAAAUCAUUUCUCACAUCUUGGCUCCCUUAGCCCAGGAAGCUCAACCCUGUUGCCUUUUCAUAAUUUAAGACUCACUCAGGACAGGUCCUUGGCCACUCUUCUCCCUUGUUUGCCAAAUUCAACAUCUGCCUGGUUCUCUUAAGGGUAUCUUUUCUAUUAUUUCAUCAUAAUACUCUGUGUAAAUCAAUGUUAACAGACAUGUGACAGGCUAUAAUAAUUAAUCUGUUUGUACUUCUCUCUCCUCCAAUAGGAUGCAAGCUCUUGGAGGAUAGAAACUAUAAUAUGGAGAUAUGAUGCAUUAUAGUAUUUAACAACCUGGGUUAUGUGGCCAGAUGGUACAGAUGAUUCUUAGCUCCACCUGCUUCAAUAACAUCCUUAAAUUCUCAAUGUCUCAGUUUCCUAUCUUAAAAUCAAGGUACUAAGAAUACUGACCUAAUAGGGAUAUUGUGAAGAUUUGAUGGCCUAAUAAUGAAUAUAAAGCACUCAAAAGUAGCUGAUGUGUAGUAGACUACUCUAUGAAGGUUAAAUGUUAGUAUAGUUUGUAUACUAAAUAUCCUGUUGUCCCCAGUGCCCAUUAAAGGACCUGGCACAUCAAAAAAACAAACAACACAAAAAUAAAACAAAACAAAAAACACUUGGCAAAUGUUAACUCCUUCUCCCCUAAAAGUAAAGUCUCUUCAGCAAAAGUGCAAAAAUAAAAACAAAACAAAAUAAACAAAAAAACAGCCCCCUCCCCACAACAAAAAAACAAACAAAACAAAACAAAACAAAACAAAAAACCUACUCCAAUCUAUACAGGAGCUUAAAACAAGAUUUCAAAGAAAAUGUGAGGAGAGAAGAAGACUCUUCCCAGUGCCACCAAGAGAAAAAUAUGUUUCCCCAGGACUAAGAAAAAAACAGCUUAUUCAUAUGAAACCAUGAAGCUAGGAAAACAACAAUGCUCAUAGAGUUAGAAGACCUUAGGCAAGUACUGAGACCCUGUGAGAUUUUAAGUUUGCACUGUGAAAAAGAAGAAAAAUUCUACCUUCCAUACAGAGUAGAUUUUAGGACUUGAGUAAAUAUAAAUAAAUUGCUCUCACUUUUACCAGAAUACUGCAGACUCUUAGAAGUAGUUAUUAUCAAUAACAUUAUUGAUUAUUACGGGAACGAUUAUUGGAUACUAUGGAAGGAAUGCAGAAGACACAGGAGAUAGUCUCUCUCCCUUAGGUACUUCUUUUCCCAUGAAAUAAGGGAAACUGGAUAGGCUCUUUUGAAGGAAUUGGCAAACCCUCACUAAACAUCAAACUGAGGACUGUGAAAUAAUGGGAGCAUGCAACCUGCAUGAUUGUAGGGGAAAUAAAGGAGAGAGAUGUUGGUAACUCACUUAAAUUGGCUUGAUUCUCAGAUACAGCAUCAAAUUUUGUUUUCCCCACAGAACAAGGAUUAAGGCCUGUGGUAUUAGAUUUUGAUUAUUUCCCGAGGCUGUCAUAGAACUCAAACACUAAAAAAUAAGUCCAAUUUUCUCUUUAAAAACAUAAGCAUUAGAUAAAUUUCAAGAAGGAGGAGAACUUUUUCUUUCAGUUAAUAUCAUCAUAGGAAGACACAAGACUCCCCUAGAUUAAAAAAAGAAGAAAAACCAAAAAGGUCAAACAUAGGGUUAAGAGGACUUGACAGUGAAUUAGUGCUAAAUCAGGUAGGUAUUAUCUCACAAGGCUGAUGCAGUUAUUACAGGCAAUGUUUCAAUAACACUGAUGAACAAGAUGGACUGGAUUUAAAACAAAAUAUAGCCUUAGUCUAAGAAGAGGCAAUAGAUUAUAGGACAGAAUCAAUUACCAAUUUCUGUCAUAUUCUUCAUGGAUUUCAGUCUCCUUAUAUUUGUCAGGCUCGUUAAAUGAGCAUUACUUUACAAUGUGUCCUCAUUUAUCAAGUCUUUUGGAAGGGAAACUUUUAUUAAAUUACUCAGGCAGCAGAAUGAAAUAUAAUUCUCCAAUGCUUAAGCCUACAUAAAUAAGGCAGUUUCCGCCAACUUCAAACUCCCCCUCUUCUAAUAAAUCCUGCACACCCCUAGCAUGAAUGGCCAAGACAAAACAUGUAAAAUUGUUGGAAAUACUUCAUAAAAUUCUUAGAAGAGGUAGCAAGAAUCACCAUGGAGUCAAUUACCAUGUUCUCAGGGGUUUGCUAAGACCUAACUACAAACAAAUUAAUUGAUAAAGAAUAUUACUGGUAAAAAAUAAUUCACACAAAGGGAAUUUGGCAUUUCCUAAAUAUGCAGAGUUAAAGUUCAGACUUAACAAAUUUAAUGCAGAGUAGUACAUGGUUGAAAUAAUGUCCACAGAGAAAACUAACUAUGAUGGAUGAGAACAUCAAUAAAGUUGGACAGUUAUGAGAAAACAGAAAAAAGUAAUUGAUCCCAUUGGAAAUAACAAAAACAAUGCGGGAGUAUGUAAUAAAUUAAUUGUGAAUUACAAUGAUUUAGUUAAUUCCAUGUAAUAGAAACAUAGAUAAAUCCCCAUAUACAUGGAAAGAACCAUUCCACCCCCCCAAAAAAAAUUGAAUAAAUAUGAAUACAUGAGAAAGCCAUAAUACCUGUAAGCAGAAGUCUUAAACUGGCAUAGUUUAUGUCAAAUCUGAUCUUUCAGUGUAUCACCUGGCCAAUGGAGUGUUUAAGAUAAAAAUAAAACCCUGGGGCUUCUGGGCGGUUCAGUCAGUUAACUGACUCCUGAUUUCAACUCUAGUCACUAUCUCAGAGUCCUGAGAUCUGGCCCAGAGUCCCAGCUCCAAGGUCAGUGGGGAGUCUGUUAGAGAUUCUCCCUCUGUCUCUCUGCCCCUCCUCCCUUUCCUGCCCUAGCUCUCUCUAAAAUCAAUAAAUAAAUUUUUAAAAAUCAGGAGUUUUCAUGUAAAAGACUCGGUUUAAAACCUAGUCCUCUCUUGGAACAUCUGUUCUGAAACUUCUGAGCUUCUAUUUACACAGGUAACAACUGGCUGAUUGUCAGAGCUUUUUACAUAGAGCAUGCAUCUGACAGGCGUCACAUUAUGCGACAUACCUGGCCCCUGUAAGCAUGUGUGUUUAUGAAAUCUAAUCCAAACCCUUGGGAGGCCAGAUUACCAGGAGACAUCCUGAGCCUGUUCACAAAAUCUCUUCCCUUUUGCAGGAGAUUGGCUAUGUGAACUUGGGCAAGAAAAACAUAUUUUUAGAUAUCUAGUUCCCUGGCCUGCAACUUAGUCCAUGGUAUUUUAGGAGGAUCAAAAAGUAAUACUACAUGAAAGUAUCUAGCAUAUUGCCUAACUCGUAAUAGAUGCUUGUGAAACCAAAGCCAUGAUAACUAUAACUGAGAAACUGUAUCUACUAAUAGUUCUCUUUUAUUUAAGUGGAGAAAGAGAAACAAAUACAGAUUCCUUGUGGACAGCUGAGCAAUGCUGCUGUGCUGUGAUAAAUCUGCGAUGCUCAUGUGAGAGAUGGUCAUGAAAUAUUGCCACCUGGUCAGUUAGGGUGCUGUUAUUUUCAGGGACUGGUGAGUUGGGAGCAUUGCUCUCUAGGAGCACUUGAGCAUGGGGAAGGUGUAGGAUAAAGCUCUGUAGUCUCCAUCUGUGCCCACCAGAGAGACAUCUCCUUAGGAAAGCUGAGGUAGCUUGGCAGCUACCAAACACCAUACCACACCUUGAUUUUCCCUUGUUGGUUUGUAAAGCACAUUAAUAUGUAUUUUCACACUCACACAGUAUGUAAAAAUCUAACUUACUAAAAAGAACCUUCUGACUCUCAAUAAUUCUCUAAUAAUCCUAAAGGUGAACAUAGUCCUUGCAAUUACCAUCACUUAGAAGUUGAAAUUUCAUUCAAUUUUAUUUUGAGAAAGAAUCAAAACUAUAAUGAAUAAAUAGAAUUUUUAAUGAGGUCUGUAAGUCAAUUUUAAGGGUUAGGAUUUACAAACUUAUUAUGAUGGUGGGACUUUAAGAGUUCUGAUGUAUAACAAAUCAUUUAUAUCUCAAGUGCAAAAUAAGAUUGGCAAAAUCAAAUCCCUUUACUUCAAAUUUAUUGCAUGAUUUGUAAACCUGUCCCUCUGUUUAUAUAUAUAUUUUUUUCCUAUGCAAUGUACAUAAAUCUUAGAUGUUUCGGGAUUUUCAUGUAUGUCUUAUAAUCAAUCAUGUACUUUCCAAAAAGUGUUACUAACUCUGAUCCCUAAGGAAUACUUAUAAAUCCUAGUCUAGUUCUUCCAUUUAACAGGAAAAGAUUUAUAUGUGAUAAGUGUAUUCUCUAGUCAGGUCUGAUAAAAGUACCACUUUAUAAAUAAGAACAGCAAAAAAUUUCUUUAACCUCCUUCAGCUUAUAGGUCUGAAUGAUGCCUGAGAAUAUGACACACCCAUCCAGAAGGAGCGACCUCUUUAGAAAAUCCAACCUCUCAGCCCCCACCUCCGCCUAGCUAAUAAGACUUUGUUUCUCUAGAAAGCUUCAAGAAAAAAGAAACAAUUGUCUUAAUGUUUGCAAUUACUUUAUAGGACAGUAUAAAAAAAGGACACUAGAGAGUUAGCUGUUAUGAAAACUAGGUUCAAGUUAUAGUUGUCACAUGUUAGCUGAGUGGUUGUCCACAUGAGACUUAUUUUUUUUUUUAAUGGGCAGAAACUUUUAUUUCCAGGACAUGUGUGGAUAAGUCAAAUGUAAACAUUCUAUUCAAAAGUGAAAAAAAAUGGAAGAAAAAUGUAACAGUACACAUCAUCCGAGGAGUGGAAAUUUCUAGAAAAAGCAAAAUUUGCACAGCAGAAGUUAUGACCUUUAACAGUAUUUUGUUACACUGGAAGAUAUAUCUUGCCAUACAUCUUUCACGGAAAACUUCCAAGGAGGUCAUACCUAAUCUAUCCCAUAUAGUUAAAAGUGGCCAAAUUGGAAACUAACCAAAUCUUUUUAGAGAUGAGGAAACAGGGCUACAGGAUUUAGGUGACAUAACUCAUGGCAAUCAGGAGUCAGCAUUCUCAUUACCUAAUCCUCAGGCUCAGUACUUUCCCCUAAAUCACUCUAUCCUUUAAUAUCCUUAACUGCAAGAUUUCAUCUUCCUUACUAAAAACCCCAUGCCAUCAAAUAUUCCCUUGUUUUAACCAAAAAGUGUUCUGCAGUGUAAGCCUCUUGCUCCUUUGUUUUCUGUGUGGCUAGAUUAUAACCACCCAGAAUUUUAGUAUAAGGACCUUUCCCAGUCUUGAAGUGGUGUAUUAAGUCAACCAUAGGCCAAGUUCUUUCACAUUUUCUCUGUUGGCAUUAUUUUCCAAACCUAGUUGUUCUGUUCUGGACACAUAUGUGUUCUGCAUAUGUCUCAGGCUAUGAGGCCCUGAAUGUGGUAACUGUCUCGCCAGAGGUGGGUUUGCAGGCUGACCUGAGUGAGUGCUGGUUGUCAAGGUGACCUGAUAUUAAACAGUUCUGAAAGGCAGCACGGGAAUUUUCUGUCUCUUUCUGAUCUUCAUCUGUAAAUUGAGAGGGCUGGACUAUUGCAUUUAUGAGGUCCUUUCCAGAAUUAACUAUGCACGAGUCAAUGAUUUUACCAUCCGUGCCAGAUUCUUACAAUGAAUGAGUCUUUCUAGAGUUGCUCUGGUUUUCUGAUUCUAUUGAUGUUCCUCAAUAAUAAGACCCAUGCAUUUUACUUCCUUUGAAAUAUAUUUUGUGCAAAGCCAUAACGAGGUAAUCAACCAUUUAUUGCCGUACAUUCAGCCAGCCAGCCAGUCAGCUAGCCAGCUCUUCAUCCAUUCUCCCAUUCAUCCAUGCCCUCAUUCAUCCUCUUAGCCAGUCAUUCAUUCAACAAAGAUCAACUGAACAACCACU
rnacentral:lncRNA from 1 species